rnacentral:rRNA from 1 species
AGCAGCCGCGGUAAUUCCAGCUCCAAUAGCGUAUAUUAAAGUUGUUGCAGUUAAAAAGCUCGUAGUUGAAUUUCGGGGUCAGUAGGUCGGUCGUGCCACUGGUAUGAACUGGUUUUACUGAUUCCUCCCUCUUGAAGAACUGUAAUGCCAUUAAUUUGGUGUUGCAGGGAAUCAGGACUGUUACUUUGAAAAAAUUGAGUGUUUAAAGCAGGCUUUAGCUUGAAUACAUUAGCAUGGAAUAAUGAAAUAGGACGUUUGAUCCUAUUUUGUUGGUUUCUAGGAUUGACGUAAUGAUUAAUAGGGAUAGUUGGGGGCAUUAGUAUUCAAUUGUCAGAGGUGAAAUUCUUGGAUUUAUUGAAGACUAACUACUGCGAAAGCAUUUGCCAAGGAUGUUUUCAUUAAUCAAGAACGAAAGUUAGGGAUCGAAGACGAUCAAGAUACCGUCGUAGUCUUAACCAUUAAACUAUGCCGACUAGGGAUCGGAUGGAUGGUUAAUUUUUAUGUACUCUNUUCGGCGCUU